UUAUAAGCUAAGUGGAAGCCCACUUAAAAUACCUAAAAGUGGAAGUUGAUUGAGGAAGCCAAUUUAAGGUUUAAUUAGAUUAACCUAAGUUGAUUAAUUAAAAACCUAAGUUUUAUUAUCCCUUCCUUCUCCUCCACCGAUUUUCCCUCUUCCUCAUUCCCGAUUCCCUCUUCCUCUCCCUCAUGCGCCGCCUCUCCCGAACACUCAUCGCCGCUGAUCAACCGGCUCCGACGCCGAUGAGCCCCAAUUGUCGGCCGCCCAGACCAUUGGCGCCUAUUCACCCGGAACCUCCCGACAUCUCGUGCCCACUUGAUCUCGAUUCUCCGGCCAUUGACGGAUGUUGCGAGACCUCCUUGCGCCGAUUCUCCGAUCUGCUGGCGCCGAGAGCCACUCGUGCGCCACCCGAGUGUCGUUGAUGAUCUGUUUCUCCAUCUGCCUUUUCCCUUUGAGUCCAGGGCCAGAUUCCUCUCCGGCCAAGAGCUAAGCAUUUUCCCUUCGGUUGGUCGUAGUUGAUCCGCCAUCUGCGCCGAGCCCUAGCUCCUGAUUGCGGCUGCUUCAUCGAUGAGCCACAGCCGCCUAGCCGCCCUCUCCGGUUCCCCGUGCCCUAACUUCACUACUGCUUUUCGCUAGAAUCGCUCCAAUUGAAGCCGCACCGACGUCGCUGCUCUCUCAGCCGAUCUUCUGUCGUCCGCGCCGUGCCCUAGCUUCCAUCACAGCUGAUCUUCACUGAUUGCCACACUCCUCUGCUUUGGGACGACACCAUGGUAGUAUUUAGAUUUCUUCAUAGAGGAGGUUAUGGAUCUGGUUAAGGGGAAAGCUAGCACUAUUUGCCGACGAUCCACAGUUCAAUCCAUCAUUUAUGGAAGCCACCUUUCUCAGUUGUGAGUCCACAAAGGAGUCUUCCUAUUAUGGAUCCGAGUUGGAUGUGAUCAUCUGGAGUUGUUGAAGACGGUUGACACGCACUAUGUAUAAAGG